rnacentral:rRNA from 1 species
AUGAAGAAGAAAGACGCGGGAGGAGGCGGCGGCGGCGGUGGCGGUGGGGCGUUCGUCGCCGCCCCGUGCGUCGACAUCAAGCUCUUCGUCGCCUCGCUCGCCUUCCUCACGCUCUUCGUCGCAUUGUGGCAGCUCCAGCCCUACGGCUCCCUCCUCGCCGCCGCCCGCUCCUCCGCCUCCGCGCCCCCAUGCGCCCUCCCCCUCGCCAACAACACUAAGGUCCACUCCGCCAACUCGACGUCCUCCGACGCAGCUACCAAGACCGCACCGGUGGCGACGUCGGCUCCGGCCAUCCCCGCCGCCGCCGCCGCUGUUCCGAUGCAGCUGGCGAAGCCGGCGGCGCGGGCGGAGGACCCGAACACGAACAAGCCGGUGCUCCCUCGGCCGCACGUCAGCUCGGCGGCGCGGGCGGAGCAGCCGAACAAGCCGGUGCUCCCUCGGCCGCACGUCAGCUCGGCGGCGCGGGCGGAGCAGCCGAACAAGCCGGUGCUCCCGCGGCCGCACGUAACCGCGGCGGCGCGGGCGGAGGAGCCGAAAAGGCCGGUGCCCCGGCCGUCCGGCAGCGCGGCGGUGCGCCCGGAGGACCCGAACAAGCGGGUGCUCCGGCCGUACGGCAGCGCGGCGGCGCUGUUCGUGCAGAUGGGCGCGUACCGGGGCGGGCCGCGGACGUUCGCCAUCGUGGGGCUGGCGUCCAAGCCCACGCACGUGUUCGGCACCCCCUACUUCAAGUGCGAGUGGCAGCCCAACCCGAGCGCCGCCGACCCGGCGCCGCGCGCCGUCCGGACCAAGGCCUACAAGAUCCUGCCAGACUGGGGCUACGGCCGCGUCUACACCACCGUGGUCGUCAACUGCACCUUCCCGUCCAACCCCAACGCCGCCAACGCCGGCGGCAGGCUGCUCGUGCACGCCUACCACUCCACCGCCUCCCGCCGGUACGAGCGGUUCGUCGCUCUCGAGGAGGCGCCGGGCGCCUACGACGAGGCCGCCUUCAGCCCGCCGUUCCAGUACGACUACCUCUACUGCGGCUCCUCGCUCUACGGCAACCUCAGCGCGGACCGCAUGCGGGAGUGGGUGGCGUACCACGCGCACUUCUUCGGGCCCAGGUCGCACUUCGUCUUCCACGACGCCGGCGGCGUGAGCCCGGAGGUGCGGGCGGUGCUGGAGCCGUGGAUCAGGGCGGGGCGGGUCACGGUGCAGGACGUCCGGGCGCAGGCCGAGUUCGACAGCUACUACUACAACCAGUUCCUGGUGGUGAACGACUGCCUGCACCGGUACCGGCACGCCGCCAACUGGACCUUCUUCUUCGACGUCGACGAGUACCUCUACCUGCCCAACGGCCAGGCUCUGGACCAGGUGCUCGGGAGGCUCUCGGGGUACACGCAGUUCACCAUCGAGCAGAAUCCCAUGUCCACCAAGCUCUGCGUCAAGAAUCCGAGGAACGAUUACUCAAGGGAAUGGGGAUUCGAGAAGUUCGUGUUCCGGAACUCGAUCACGAGGGUGCGGCGCGACCGCAAGUACGCGAUCCAGGCGCGGAACGCGUACGCGACGGGGGUGCACAUGUCGCAGAACAUCUACGGGAGGUCGACGCACAAGACGGAGGCCCUGAUCAGGUACUACCACUACCACAACUCCAUCAACGUGUUGGGUGAGCCCUGCCAGGAGUUCGUGCCGCGGCCCGGCAGCGGCCGCAAGGUCACCUUCGAGGGCGUCCCCUACGUGUACGACGACGCCAUGAAGCGCCUCGCCGGCGAGGUCCGGCGGUUCGAGAACGAGACCAUCGGAUCGUCGUCUCUUACAUGA